rnacentral:rRNA from 1 species
UACGUAGGGUGCGAGCGUUGUCCGGAAUUAUUGGGCGUAAAGGGCUCGUAGGCGGUCUGUCGCGUCGGGAGUGAAAACUCAGGGCUUAACCCUGAGCCUGCUUCCGAUACGGGCAGACUAGAGGUAUGCAGGGGAGAACGGAAUUCCUGGUGUAGCGGUGAAAUGCGCAGACAUCAGGAGGAACACCGGUGGCGAAGGCGGUUCUCUGGGCAUUACCUGACGCUGAGGAGCGAAAGUGUGGGGAGCGAACAGG